GGAGAGAUGGCUGAGUGGUUUAUAGCCUCGGUCUUGAAAACCGAUAUAGUUAUGAACUAUCGAGGGUUCGAAUCCCUCUCUCUCCC
rnacentral:tRNA from 1 species